UCCUGAGGAGUGGCUUCCGGAGCUAACGCGUUAAAUCGACCGCUGGGGAGUACGGCCGCAAGGUUAAAACUCAAAUGAAUUGACGGGGGCCCGCACAAGCGGUGGAGCAUGUGGUUUAAUUCGAUGCAACGCGAAGAACCUUACCUACUCUUGACAUCCAGAGAAUUUAGCAGAGAUGCUUUAGUGCCUUCGGGAACUCUGAGACAGGUGCUGCAUGGCUGUCGUCAGCUCGUGUUGUGAAAUGUUGGGUUAAGUCCCGCAACGAGCGCAACCCUUAUCCUUUGUUGCCAGCACGUUAUGGUGGGAACUCAAAGGAGACUGCCGGUGAUAAACCGGAGGAAGGUGGGGAUGACGUCAAGUCAUCAUGGCCCUUACGAGUAGGGCUACACACGUGCUACAAUGGCGUAUACAAAGAGAAGCGACCUCGCGAGAGCAAGCGGAACUCAUAAAGUACGUCGUAGUCCGGAUUGGAGUCUGCAACUCGACUCCAUGAAGUCGGAAUCGCUAGUAAUCGUAGAUCAGAAUGCUACGGUGAAUACGUUCCCGGGCCUUGUACACACCGCCCGUCACACCAUGGGAGUGGGUUGCACCAGAAGUAGAUAGCUUAACCGCGAGGGGGGCGUUUACCACGGUGUGAUUCAUGACUGGGGUGAAGUCGUAACAAGGUAACCA
rnacentral:rRNA from 1 species